rnacentral:rRNA from 1 species
CCCUUAGAGUUUGAUCCUGGCUCAGGAUGAACGCUAGCUACAGGCUUAACACAUGCAAGUCGCGGGGCAGCAUGUCGGUUGCUUGCAACCGAUGAUGGCGACCGGCGCACGGGUGAGUAACGCGUAUCCAACCUGCCCUUCACCACGGAAUAAUCCAGUGAAAAUUGGUCUAAUACCGUAUGAGGUCAUACGAUGGCAUCAGAAUAUGACGAAAGGUUUGGCGGUGAAGGAUGGGGAUGCGUCUGAUUAGCUUGUUGGUGAGGUAACGGCUCACCAAGGCGACGAUCAGUAGGGGUUCUGAGAGGAAGGUCCCCCACAUUGGAACUGAGACACGGUCCAAACUCCUACGGGAGGCAGCAGUGAGGAAUAUUGGUCAAUGGGCGAGAGCCUGAACCAGCCAAGUAGCGUGCAGGAAGAGGGCCCUAUGGGUUGUAAACUGCUUUUAUAUGGGGAUAAAGUGAGUUACGUGUAGCUUAUUGCAGGUACCAUAUGAAUAAGGACCGGCUAAUUCCGUGCCAGCAGCCGCGGUAAUACGGAAGGUCCGGGCGUUAUCCGGAUUUAUUGGGUUUAAAGGGAGCGUAGGCCGGAGAUUAAGCGUGUUGUGAAAUGUAGAUGCUCAACAUCUGAACUGCAGCGCGAACUGGUUUCCUUGAGUACGCACAAAGUGGGCGGAAUUCGUGGUGUAGCGGUGAAAUGCUUAGAUAUCACGAAGAACUCCGAUUGCGAAGGCAGCUCACUGGAGCGCAACUGACGCUGAAGCUCGAAAGUGCGGGUAUCGAACAGGAUUAGAUACCCUGGUAGUCCGCACGGUAAACGAUGGAUGCCCGCUGUUGGUCUGAAUAGGUCAGCGGCCAAGCGAAAGCAUUAAGCAUCCCACCUGGGGAGUACGCCGGCAACGG